GAUGAACGCUGGCGGCGUGCUUAACACAUGCAAGUCGAACGAAGCACUUAAGAUUGCUUCUUCGGAUGACGUCUUUUGUGACUUAGUGGCGGACGGGUGAGUAACGCGUGGGUAACCUGCCUCACACAGGGGGAUAACAGUUAGAAAUGACUGCUAAUACCGCAUAACCCGAUAGGAUCGCAUGAUCCAGACGGAAAAGAUUUAUCGGUGUGAGAUGGACCCGCGUCUGAUUAGCUAGUUGGUGAGGUAACGGCCCACCAAGGCGACGAUCAGUAGCCGGCCUGAGAGGGUGAACGGCCACAGUGGGACUGAGACACGGCCCAAACUCCUACGGGAGGCAGCAGUGGGGAAUAUUGCACAAUGGGGGAAACCCUGAUGCAGCGACGCCGCGUGAGUGAAGAAGUAUUUCGGUAUGUAAAGCUCUAUCAGCAGGGAAGAAAAUGACGGUACCUGACGAAGAAGCCCCGGCUAACUACGUG
rnacentral:rRNA from 1 species